GUGGGGAAUCUUAGACAAUGGGCGCAAGCCUGAUCUAGCCAUGCCGCGUGAGCGAUGAAGGCCUCAGGGUUGUAAAGCUCUUUCGUGGGGGAAGAUAAUGACUGUACCCCAAGAAGAAGCCCCGGCUAACUCCGUGCCAGCAGCCGCGGUAAUACGGAGGGGGCUAGCGUUGUUCGGAAUUACUGGGCGUAAAGCGCACGUAGGCGGACUGGAAAGUCAGGGGUGAAAUCCCGGGGCUCAACCCCGGAACUGCCUUUGAAACUCCCAGUCUUGAGUUCGAGAGAGGUGAGUGGAAUUCCGAGUGUAGAGGUGAAAUUCGUAGAUAUUCGGAGGAACACCAGUGGCGAAGGCGGCUCACUGGCUCGAUACUGACGCUGAGGUGCGAAAGCGUGGGGAGCAAACAGGAUUAGAAACCCCUGUAGUCC
rnacentral:rRNA from 1 species